UACGGAGGGGGUUAGCGUUGUUCGGAAUUACUGGGCGUAAAGCGCGCGUAGGCGGAUUAGAAAGUUGGGGGUGAAAUCCCGGGGCUCAACCCCGGAACUGCCUCCAAAACUACUAGUCUAGAGUUCGAGAGAGGUGAGUGGAAUUCCGAGUGUAGAGGUGAAAUUCGUAGAUGUUCGGAGGAACACCAGUGGCGAAGGCGGCUCACUGGCUCGAUACUGACGCUGAGGUGCGAAAGUGUGGGGAGCAAACAGG
rnacentral:rRNA from 1 species